CGACGGCCACCACGGCUAGCGAAAGUCCCGCUGAGGCCGCGACGGGCGCAGGGUCCGAGUCACCGUCCGCCGGUUCGGGGCCGAGCCGUCGUC
rnacentral:tRNA from 1 species